CUUAUAAUCUGGUAACACCGAAUUCAGCAACAAAAUUGUAUUAUCCCGUUAUCCCCGUAAGUAAAUAAUUCUAGUGUUUAGGAUAAAUCACCCGUAGCGAAACAGUAAAUUUGACUUGAUAACAAAAGUGUAUAAAAAUUCAAAAUUCUUGUCUUAUUCUUAUAAUUAUCUGUUUUGCUUUUAUUAGUUCUUGAAUCAAAAAUUGUCAGAAUGAAUGAUGGGAAAAAGCGACUUAGUGGGGCCGAGUACAGAAAAAGAGCAGAAAUUAGAAAAGAAGAACAGAAAGAAAUCAUCCGACAAACAGUAAAAAUUUACAAUUUUUUGAGAAAUGAAAGUAAAAGCAUUAUUUUGAGUGCGGAAACUUCAAACAUAAGUCCUAAUACAAUACAAUCUGAAGAUGAGACCGAUACAUACUCUGCUGCUUGUGACAGUGUGGCAGAAGCGGAAUCAUCUGUAAGUCCAACAAUUGAAGAUUCGUUUCAGAAUCAAACGUCGAGCCCAGAUCUGUAUAUUGUGGACCGUGUUUGGCAUUUGGUCCAUUGGAGUGUUGAACUCAAUUUGAGAACGGAGGAUUCAAUGACUGGAAAAAUGCAGAUCAUCGAACAGCUCAGUAUGAAAACUCUCCGCGUCAUAAAUCUAGUAUUCUUAGUUUGAAAGAUAGAAAUAAGAUUGAUGACCGACUUAAUGAUUUAUUGCAGAUCCAGAUUGAUGAAGAAAUAACUUACUGGAAAAACGUUCUGAUGAAAGUUGUUGCUGUCGUGAAGCGAUUGUGUUCAAGAGGUCACACUUUUAGAGGGAAAAACUAAAAAUUUGAAGAUCCACAUAAUGGAAAUUAUUGUAUGGUUUUGGAACUAUUAGCCAAACUUGAUCCUUUUCUGGCUCAUCACAUUAAACGGUUUGGAAAUCAAGGAUCAGGGAGUACCAGUUACUUAUCAAAGACCACUUGCGAUGAAUUUAUUCUCUUGAUGGGUCAGAAAGUUUUAAAGAAGAUUGGAGACGAAAUAAAACAAGCAAAAUAUUUUUUUCUAAUCACCGAUUCAACACACAUUCUUUAAAUCUAUCAACAACUACAGCUGCUGAAUCGACUACAGAAGCUUGUCACUUUUUCAUAUUGUUACAGGAAAUCUAGGUUUUUUUCUAAGCUCGACACAACGCUGGCAGAAACUAAUGAAUCAAAUCGGAAAAGGCAAAAGCGUUAAAAAAGUAAAUUUGACAUGCUGGUCAGCUAGAGAGGAUGCAUGCAAAAGUUUGAAAGAAUCUUGGCAUGAAAUUCUAAAAACUUUGGAAUUAAUCAAGGAUGAUUGUACCGAAAAGCCUGUGAUACGACAAGAAGCGGCAGGGAUAUUUUCGAAUUUGCAAAAACUGCAAACGGCAGUAAUGGUUGUUGUAUGGAAUGUUCUUCUGGAGAGAAUAAAACAAGUGAAUGUUCAAUUUCAGAGUUCUAACACAGAUUUGAUCACUGUUGCUGAUAUUUACGAAUCACUCCGUAAGUUUUUCAUAGCUGAACGAGAGAAUUUUAAGUUUUUUGAAAAGGCAAUGGAAAUGAGUGUAUCAAAACAAUAUACAAAAAAGAUGGGAAAACGACGCCAAAAAGAAAAAAAGAUUUGAACUCUCGAAGAAUAUAUUCGAAUGGCUGCAAUUGAUUACUUCAGAGUUAACACGUUUUUCUCGUUCUCAUAGACAGAUUCAUAUCCGUAUUAGCAAAGCAGCAAGAGGCUCAUAACGGACUUAACGAGACAUUUUAAUUUCUUACUUAAAUGAAUGAGUUGUCACCAUCAAGUCUGACAGAAAAAGCCAGUUUUUUGGAAGAAACGUAUCCUAAUGAUUUAGAAAAGGACUUAACUCAGGAAUGCGUACACUUUCAAGCCUCUGUUCUGUCCUCUGAAAGAAUUUUAAUAAAACCAAAGUCUGGAUCAUUGAAAAGUCUGUAUUUGCUCAUGCGACAACAAAAUUUAGAAAAUAUUUAUCCAAACUUGGAUAUAGCACUUCGUAUUGCUUUAUGUACACAAGCAACGAAUUGUUCUGGUGAAAGAAGUUUAUAUUGCUUAAAGAGAGUCAAGAACUAUCUACGAUCGACUUUAAGUCAAAAAAAGCUAAACACUUUAGCUCUUUUAUGCAUAGAGUCAGAACAGAAUUAUUAUGCUGUUUUUAAAUUGUAAUUGUAAUAAAAAAUAUUUAUCAACGUUCUUGGAGUGUACAUUUUUUGUGUAAGCUUUGUUCAUAUAAUGUAAGUUUUGUAUAGUUUCAAGACAUGCUUUAACUUUUCUUAAAAAAAGUACAUGAAUGAGAUUUUCUUUGCUUAAAAUGAUAUUUCUUCAUAAUUAUUUAAUGUGUAAAUAAUCAAGGAUUUGAUACCGUACCUUAGUUUUUUAGUCAUAAAGUGGCAAUUUAAUAGAUAGAAAGUAUAAUUUAUGAAAACUUAAACUAAGCUAUCGAAUUUCAGAGGUAGUAGGGGCGGCAAAAAUUGAAAAGCCUACAGUCGGCAAAUCUGCAAAUCCGCCACAGCUUCUUAGUAAGGAAAGGACAGGUGCAAAUUUUCAGAUCAAUAGCUUAAAAACUGAGGGACUACUUAGCGUAUUUACAGGCUAAAUCAACUCAGCUCAUCAUGCUAAUCAUAUUAUGUAUAUACUUACAUAUUUUAGGGUUUACGACGUUUCCUUCUGGGUGGUACAAACUUAAUAUACCCUGUUCAGGGUAUACAAAUUUCUCUGAGCUUAUGUGCAACCUAAUUUAUGUACGUCAAAUAUAUGUAUACGACAUUGACCUGUAGAGGCAGAUUUUUUCCAAAAUGUUGUACGAAAAAAUGUUAUGGUAACUUCUGGCCAUAACGAAAUUAUAUCCUCUUUGUCUUUAGAAAAUGACAGCUCUUACUGUAGAUGAAAUUUUUACAAUGCUUAAACAAGAUUCUGACGUUGAUGAAGAAGCUAUGGAUGAAAAUGAGAUAAUAUUUGAUGAGCCCAAGUGCAAUUCAAAGAUGUAGAUGUGGUUGAACACGAAGCUAUUUCAGAGGAGCACGAAACCGAAGUAUACGACGGCAAUGUUCCCAAUUCCCCAACAACAUGUAUAAGUAGAGACACAACUGCAAAAAUUUAUGGAGUUUCAUAUACAGCAAAGAAAGAUAUUCGUUGACAAAAAUGUUUACAUCAGGAAAGCUUUAGAGGCAUAGCAAAUAAGUGAGGUUUUGGUCCACUCCUUUUCCUAUCUUUAGCAAAUAUAUACUGAUGAGUUUUUUACGAGAGAAUUGCACAAAUCUAUAUGCACCAAAUUCAGGCCAAUUGUCGUUCAAAGCUUAGACUGUUGAUGAAGUACGAUUUAUUUGGGUGGAGAUGUUUUAUAAUUCGGUAAUAAGAAUAUUACUUUUCAUUGAAAAUAUAACUCGCAGAAGAUUUUCAGCAAUUCGAAACAAUUUACACAUUGUUAACAUAAAUGCCCGUAAGCGCGACUGCGCUGAUCGUCUCUUUAAAAUGCGACCAAUAGUUGAGUUGAUUAGAAUCGGAUAAAAAACCUGACAUUGAGAGAAAACCUCUGCAUUGAUAAACAAAUCAUCCCAUUUAAAAACAAAUUUACAGCUAAGCAGUACGUUAAUACGUUAUGUGGAAAAAGUGGAAUGCCGUACGAUUUCCAGAUAUAUAAAGGAUCCACGAUACCCUUAAAUCCACAAUGGAUCCAAACAGUUCGCUUCGGUUCCGCAGUCGUUCUGCACUUGGCGAAACGUAUCCCAAAUACCGAAAUUGGACAUAAUUUAUUAUUCAACAACUACUUCCCAUCAUACCAAUCGUUUGAAAUGUUGAAACAAAAAAAAAUGAAUAGAUUUUCGAAUCCACGCUUGCCAACAGAGGUCCAUCAGCAGAAUGCAUAAGGCGCGAUAAUAAUGUUAUUGUACUCGCUGAUACGACAAUAAGUUGCGAAUCUGGCUUCAAACUUUGUUGGCAUCAAGAAAAAAUCAAAGCUAAGAGAUGGCAUAAAGAAAACAAAAAUUUUAUACUUAUCGAUAGACCCAAGUUGUACGAAUGUAUAAUGUGUAUACGAGCGGGGUGGAUUUAUUGGAUCAAAUGAUCCAAUACUACUGGAUGAAUAUUGGCACAGUUAAGUGGACUCUGAGAGUUAUUAUGCAAUUUGUAAAUUAUAUAUAACUGCGUCAUGGAUGGAGUACAAAAAAGAUUUUGCUCGUACACUCCUCGCUGCCCAACAAGACGACACAUCCAUUCCUCAUCUAAAACGCAAAAAAGAUAGACCAUCAAAAGCCUCUCUAAAAUAAUCCUCAUCUGCGGAAGGCGGUAACAGCGAUGACUCCGACAAUAGUGAAUCCAUGCAUUUGGCACCAAUUCCCAAAAAACGGAAGAAAGUCUUUCAAAAAGCUCCAGAACCAGAAAUGAAUUAAACAAAAUAAUACUUUCUUAUUUACACCUAUUACGUACUAUGAAUUAGUAAACUUUAAUUUGAACCACUUAUAAAAAAAUGUCAAUAAAUGGUGCUUUUGGUGGUCGAUAUCGAAUAUAUUGAAAAUCAGAUAAAAGCCGAGGGAGUUACCAAAAUUUAAAAAUUUAAUUUUCCCUAAAUUUAGCACAACCAUAUUAGUCACAUACAUACUCGUAUGUGUAUUUCAGAUUUUUAGCUAGUUAAUAUCGUUUACACGAUAUGAGUUAUUAAAAAUAUACUUUUGAGCUGCACAGAAAUGUGUACUCUUUAUUGAUAUUCUUAAGACUAACUUGUUAUAUAGAUCUUACUGCUAUUUAUACUAACUAGUGUUACUUAUUACUAGUUGAUAGUUUCUUUACAUAUAACAUAUUGUUUGUUUAAAUACAUUUGCAUCGUUCUAAGAUAAGUUUGUUUGAUGUAUUUUGUUUAAUGUGGUUUCAUACAUUAUGUUCAUUCAGAGAUAAGGUUGUUUUUAUGUUUGUUUGUUUAGGAUAUUGGUGAUAUAAUGUGAUAAGUAAUACGUUCCUUAACUAGCUCGAACUCAAAUAUUUUUGAAAUCGAAAGGGUUAAAAAAAAAUAGUUUUAAUGAGAUUCAAUUGCACAUCAGUUUACAAAAUAAAUAUUCAGAAUUCGUUUUACCAAAGUAGUUAUGAGGGGAUUUUUUUUUAUUGUUUUAGAGAUAAAGAAAUGUGUUUUAUAUUUAUCAAUUAAAUAAAUCCAAAAAUACUUGUAA